AUACGGAGGAUCCGAGCGUUAUCCGGAUUUAUUGGGUUUAAAGGGUGCGCAGGCGGCCAUUUAAGUCAGCGGUUAAAUCGUGGGGCUCAACCCCAUUCUGCCGUUGAUACUGGGUGGCUUGAUUGCGGUCGAGGUUGGCGGAAUUCGUUGUGUAGCGGUGAAAUGCAUAGAUAUGACGAAGAACACCGAUUGCGUAGGCAGCUGACCAGACCGCAAAUGACGCUCAUGCACGAAAGUGCGGGGAUCGAACAGGAUUAGAUACCCUGGUAGUCCUCACAGUAAACGAUGAAUACUUGUUUUCGGCGAUAUAAUGUCGGAGGCAAAGCGAAAGCGAUAAGUAUUCCACCUGGGGAGUACGCCGGCAACGGUGAAACUCAAAGGAAUUGACGGGG
rnacentral:rRNA from 1 species